rnacentral:lncRNA from 1 species
ACAUUACUUUUCUAAUAUAUUUAUAAUGGGAUUAAUAUGAGUGUUGUCAAAUCGUACAAUUUUGGCUAACCGGUUACUCGGAUAGUCGUUCGACCGAUUAACCGGUUAACCGGUAGUUUUAGUUCAUGUUCGAGAGCCUUAUCUAUAGUACACUACAAAUGUUCGUUUUCAUAAUACGAUGAUUAAAAAAAAAUAGAGAAUGGAAAUGGGGAAUAUAUCAAAGAGACAACAACCCAGC